rnacentral:lncRNA from 1 species
AAAUGCAUAAGAAAGCAAAGGAAUUUUAUGGAAGAUAUUCACCACCAGCAAGAAAGUCAUACUUCAAUCCUCCAGAAUAGAUUACUUCUGAUUUGAAAGGAUACAUUUCUUAGGGAAAUCAGUGCAUUGGUUACAUGAAAACCGUGUGACAACCUUGGAAGUCUGAAAGAGCAGGAGAGAGGCUAAGCACACACAUAUUGUGAUUUUAAGAGUCUCAAGGUGAGAAGAAACAUCAGAAGCAGUUGAGAGACCAGGACGUGGGUCCUCAAAGGAUGAACAGAAGUUCUUUUGGAUAACAUUUUAAAAUGUUUCCUCCAGAGUUAUCUGCCUCAUUAACAAUGGUUUGAGUCUCAAGAGUCUCUCUUCGAUUUUACAAACAUGAUUUGUUGCUCUGCUAUAAAUGCAUGCUGCUCUAGUCCUUCAAUAAACCCACAACAUGUUUUCACCAUU